CUUUAUCAUUCUAUUUCUGAUUCUGUAGCAGGUCAAGUCGUUUGUUUUUUUAAAAAAAAAGCAUAUAUAGACACAGUACAGAGGUAUGUUCAUGUAGCAUAUGUAUGUAUAUAUACAUAUAUACUUAUAUACUGUAUAUAUAUAUUUAUAUAUUGUAUGUGUAUAUAUUAGAUGUUUUUAUUAAUAAGAUACAGUUGAGUGAGUGUAAACGAGAGGGAGGAGAAAGUGUGUAUAUACAAGUCUGUGUGUAUAAAAUUAAAGCGAGAGAGGGAGAGAGGGAGAGGGCAAAAGAGAAAGAUAGAGUACAAUAAUUCAGUUAAAGGAUAACCAUAGCAUAUGUGAACAUUCAUAUUGUAAUAAGCAAGUUUUGAUGGAUUUUUUUCUUCAAAGCUCGCCAAAAAUUAACAGUUUAUUAGUUGUUUCGCAGUUGAAAGCUAAUUAGUUUCUUGGUUGGAUGAUGAGUGUGAAGAAUAAGGGAUAAGAAUGAAAGGAAAUAAGAGUAUAGGAAUUCACCUGAAUUCUUAAUGAAUGACCGAGCUAACGUAUGCAAACGUGUACAGAGUAAUAUAAGUUGCCUUUGACUAUGCAUAUGUGUAAGUAUCGUAAGGUUAAGGCGUGUCUUGAAAGUGGCUCAAUCGAAUUUUUUCUCUCUCCUCUUUCUGGUUAUAAGGUGCGCUAACAGCGGAUAUUAGAAGAAAUAAUAAUAAAGUUUACGUCAUAGCCAAUCACACGAAACGAUUUUCUCGCAUGGUGUAUGUUUGCUUUUUAACAAAAGCAAUACGAAAAUGGCCGAGUUAAAAAGUAAAAAGAAAAAAACACCAAUGGUUCACCUUACAACCUUUUACUACUGUAGUAUUAUAGAUUGUGCUACCAUACCACCACCCCCUCUUUCCCAUUGCCACCAGGGCUUAUUACUCUUCCCUCCCUCCCCAGCUACUCUAGUUUCUUUCUAGUUACUCUGACAGUCUGUCUCUUUCUCUUUUCUCUCUCUCUCUCUCUCUCUUUCUAUCUAUCAGUCUAUCUAUCUUUGCUUUUAGAUAGCAGUCUUGUUUGAAGCGCUGGCUGUUUGACCGCAAGGUGUCGUUUUCCUAAUUUCCGAUAUCGCCGUAUCAUUUCAUAGUAUAAUAGCUGUUGACCUACAUCAGAGUCGUUUAACAUUAAAAAGAGUUGAUCUUGUAAUUUUGAAACAAUGACUACUCCAAGAACAAGAGAAGAAGAAGCAGAGAAAACUGAAGAGAAAGCUAGAACUUUCUCGGGAGGUGAAGGAGCGGAGGGAAGACGUCGUUCCUCGUCGAACGUUUUUUUUAAACGUGCUGUCGUAUUGGCUGUAGACGCUAGCGAGAAUGCAAAAUUAGCAUUCGAAUAUUUCCUGGCCGAACAUUAUAGACCGGAUGACCUGCUUAUCCUCACGCAUUGCCCGGAAACCCCAAAAUUGCCUUCCUUCUCUUUUAAGAAUCCGAUGAAGCUACCCGUCGAUGAUUGGAAAAGAACCUUAGACGAUAUGAAUUCGAAAACUAGAAAGUUGGAAGAGGAUUACGAAACAACCUGCAUUCAGAGGAAAAUUAAAUACAAAAUUAGAGGACAGUGCUGCGAUAAGCCAGGAGAAGGAAUUCUUUCGGUGGCCAAUUCCGAAAAUGCGGAUUUGAUCGUUAUAGGAACACGUGGAUUGGGAACUAUUAAGAGAGCUAUUAUGGGAUCGGUAUCCGAAUAUGUCGUCAGAAACGCUCCCUGUCCCGUAAUCAUUGUUCCAAGAAAGAAGGACAGACGCGAAAGUAUUUCAAAGUCGUAAUAUAAUCGACAUUUGAUAAAGAUAAAUUUUAUUAUUAAUCACGUGACUCUCUAUUAUAUUGGCCAACAUUUUUUCACUUAAAUAUUACCUUAAAGAAGGAGAGAGGAGGAGGAGGAGGAGGAGAUAGCGAUAGAAAGAAAUAUAGAGCUAGAGAAAGAUAGGGGCGGGGGGAGGGGGCGGUUAAGAAAAAAUCUAGAAUUACGAAACGAAAAGAAAAUGGACAAAAAAAAAAGAACAAAAUUUCUAAAAAAUCCAACCCAAAAAACGAAAAAAAAAACCUUAAAAAAAAAAUUAAAAUCAAGGGUCACGUGAUUAAUUAUUAAAAUUUAUGAAAAGUUUAAUAAUAAUAAUAAAUAUGAAAGAAAGAUAGAUUGAAAACAAAAAACAGACAAAAAAAACGGCACUUUUUCUCUUUUCUUUUUCAUCUUUUUUAGUAUUUUGUGUAUAAUUAAAGAUAUUUUAAUUAAUUAGAUGUUUUUAAUUCUUUCUUUGUUUAUUACGUUUGUAUUUGAUUUCCAAUUGACCUUUUUAUUGACCUUUUUUCUCUCGCCACCCUACAACCUAUUAUUUUCCCUUUCUUUCUUUCCUCUCUUCCCACCCACUCACCCAUCAAACUUUCUAAACCGUUUUCAAAGGGAUAACAAAGAAAUAAGGAUAAAAAUUUUUUAAAUGAUGUAUGAUUAUGGUGGUGAUAGAAACAGCCUUUAUCAAUCUACAUACCUAGUUCUCAGCAUCCCCUCUCCUCUCUUCUCUCUCUCUCUCUCGCUCCAUCUCUUUUAAGGCUUUCACGGUUGUUACUGUACUAAAGUAAUUCGUUUUUAUACACCUAUAUACAGUACAUUUUGAAAUAUAGUAAUACUUAGUAGAUAUAACAAUAAAGUCAUUAGUAUACUAUAAAACACUAAGUAGUUAAUUCGUUCGUUCGUUCAUUCAUUCAUUCAUUCAUUCAAUUCAUCUACACUUAAUUGCUUACUCUACUACUCAAGUUAAAGUUGACGUGAUGAUUAUGUAUCUUUUAUUUUUGAAUGAAUAAACGUUCAAGCUAAACGCU
rnacentral:misc_RNA from 1 species